GGUACAGGCGUAGCAAUACGUGCUGACGAGCGGCGAACGGGUGCGUAAUACAUGGGAAUCUGCCCUUUGGUGGGGAAUAACCCGGCGAAAGCCGGGCUAAUGCCGCAUAAGAUCUUCGGAUGAAAGCGGGGGAUCGUAAGACCUCGCGCCGAUGGAUGAGCCCAUGUCGGAUUAGCUAGUUGGUGAGGUAACGGCUCACCAAGGCGACGAUCCGUAGCUGGUCUGAGAGGACGGCCAGCCACACUGGGACUGAGACACGGCCCAGACUCCUACGGGAGGCAGCAGUGGGGAAUAUUGGACAAUGGGCGAAAGCCUGAUCCAGCGACGCCGCGUGUGUGAAGAAGGCCUGCGGGUUGUAAAGCACUUUCGAUGGGAACGAAAUGUGCCGGGCUAAUAUCCCGGCAAGCUGACGUUACUCAAUGAAGAAGCACCGGCUAACUCUGUGCCAGCAGCCGCGGUAAUACAGAGGGUGCGAGCGUUAAUCGGAAUUACUGGGCGUAAAGCGCACGUAGGUGGCGACGUAAGUCGGGUGUGAAAGCCCCGGGCUCAACCUGGGAAUUGCAUUCGAGACUGCGUUGCUGGAGUACGGAAGAGGAGGGCGGAAUUCCCGGUGUAGCGGUGAAAUG
rnacentral:rRNA from 1 species